rnacentral:rRNA from 1 species
AUGCAGAUCAACCUGCGCGCCCAGGGACUCUGGGAGGCCAUGCUUGGCGAAGGCAUGGUCACCGACCGCGAGGACAUGGCGGCGCUCGCCGCACUGAUUCGGGUUGUGCCCCCGGAGAUGCACGGCGUUCUCGCCGUCAAGAACUCCGCGCACGAGGCCUGGCAGGCAGUGCGCACGAUGCGGAUGGGCGUGACCCAUGUCCGGGAGGCCACGGCACAGCGCCUCCGCUCUGACUUUGAGCAGAUCAUGUUCAGGGAUGGAGAAACCCUGGACAGCUUCGCCAUGCGCAUCACCACCCUCGUCAACAACCUCCGAUCACUGGGUGACAACAUGGAGGAGGUGCGCGUGGUGCAGAAGUUCCUGCGUGUCGUGCCGGCCCGGUACACGCAGAUCGCCUGCGCCAUCGAGACCCUCCUCGACCUGAGGAACCUGUCGGUGGAGGAGGUCGUCGGCCGCCUCCGCUCCGCCGAGGAACGCUACGGCGUCGAUGCGAGAGGCCACGCCGCGCAGCUCCUGCUCACUGAACAGGAGUGGUACGCACGCAAGGGCCAGCAGGAGCAAGGGCAAGGCUCAGGCUCAUCUGGUGGCGGCGGUCAGCGUCAAGGCAAGGCGCACGGAGGCGGCGGCGGUCAACGCCGGGGGCGCGACAUGACGAAGGUGAAGUGUUACAAUUGUAACAAACUCGGGCAUUUCUCCAGGGAUUGCAAGGAGCCAUGA